GGCCAGUGUGGUGUAGUGGUUAGAGUGCUGGGCUAGGACCUGGGAGACCAGGGUUCAAAUCCCCACUCAGCCA
rnacentral:tRNA from 1 species